GCAUGGGAAUCUACCUUAUAGUUUGGUUAAAUGCCUUAUACAGAAAGAAUUUUCGCUGUAAGAUGAGCCUUUGUAGGAUUAGGUAGUUGGUAAGGUAAUUGCUUACCAAGCCGAUGAUCCUUAAUUGGCCUGAGAGGGUGUACAAUCACAUUAGAACUGAGAAAGGUCUAAACAUUUACGAAUGGCAGCAGUGGGGAAUAUUGAACAAUGGGCGCAAGCUCGAUUCAGCGAUAUGGAGUGGAUGAUGACAGUCAUUUGAUUGUAAAGUCCUUUUACCAAGAAAGAUUUUUGACUUUACUU
rnacentral:rRNA from 1 species